rnacentral:lncRNA from 7 species
UUGAUCAGAAUUCAGAGCUGUGUGUACCAGCUUACGAUGCUAACGUCCUUCAGUGUAAAUUUGGGACCUCGGUGUUUAAAGGCAUCUACUUGGAGAUGUGUAGCAGAAUUCUCAAAAAUACUCCUGACAAUUUGCUUUUAAAUAAAUAUGAUUUACCCUGUUAAGUUAAGAAGACCAGUCUUACAGGCUUACCUGAGUGCAGCUAUUCUCCUUGGCUUGGAUGAAGCAUCAGUGUGCUCGUAUAAGAGGAGUUAUAUACCUAUUUUCAUUAAGCGUUUUAAAACUGUUUGUAUUGUAAUAAACUUUCAGCAGUAACUUGCUGCAGGUAACAGGCAAGAUGGAGAUCAGUUAAUAUUUUCAGGUAAUAGACGUACGCCAUGCACCGUGGAUGUGCUGCAACAAAACACAGCUAAUUAGAAAUGAAAAGGGUUGUUCAGUGCCUUCGUUGUGCAUCUGCCUGAGAAGUUUGAGAAGUAGAAGCAUGUAGUAGGAAUGAUCUGAUACCUUGAGAAGAACAGCAGAACGUACUUGAAAUCCCAUGUGAAUCUUCACUUAUGAGGGGCCAGAACUGCCAGGCAUAUUACAGUCUAUUAUGUAGACUAAGCUGUGAUUCAUAUAAAAGCAUAUUCAGACCCUGGUGGUAAUAAUGGAACUAGUCAAACUCAAGAUUUGUGUCCUAAUACUAUAUCCUUAAGCUACUGAAGUUAUCACUUUUAAUUGACUUGCUUUUAAAAAGUGCUUAUGAGCUGAGUCAUCUUGUCUGACCUGAGCAUUUUAGAACGCAUAUGAAAUUGAGCUCUUCAGUCUUAAUUGUUUUAUGUACUUCGUAUGCCACCAUGAUGCUGUUUGUGCUGAAUAGAUAAUUACAAUACAAACAGUUUUAAAAGUCCUGUGCUGAUUUCGUGACCUCUUUGGAGCAUUUAUUUUUUUGUAUGAACGUGCUUUCAUUUAGUUUUCAUUCAGCUUGCUCCUUAAGUUAGGUAGACCUUAUUAGGCUAGAUAUGUGUUACUGGGGACUCAAGGAAGGGUUUAAAUUAAUGACCACACUGCAGCGUAUUAAUGAGGUGUAACACGUGUAGGAUUGACAGCUUAUAUGGAAAACCAGUUGUAUGGCUAUAGGUCGUAUCGUCUUCACAAAAAUACUUCCUUAGUUUCUCCUUGUGAAGAAUGUAAUGUCAAGUCAGUGGUUUAAGAGCAGCUAGUCUCACCUCAUGUUAAGGAAGGAGACGUGCUUUCUUGCUUCAUGGACACACUAGUGCUAAUCCCUUAGUGAAGGAGUAGAAUCUAUGAUGCAAAGCAUGUUUGCUGUGGGGGACUUUGGACGUCUCUUUGUAACCUGGAAAUAUAAGACACACCUGUAAGACUACCAAAGAAGUCCCAAUUUGUUUAAAAAUGUAAUCACAUGACAUCUACAGCAAUUACUGUAACUAGUUUGAUUAAAAGGUGUUCGAUUUGCCAUGUAUGAAAGAAUGCUAAAUAGGAAAUAGAUGUGUUAAUCAUCUUAAGCUUGUAUUUACUGUCUUCCCAGUCUGCUGCUCUUGGCAUAAGCCUUCAGCUUUUAUGGUGCGUUUAAUAGUUAGGGAGUGAAUACCUCCUGGGUGUUAACAAUUGUAAACUAAAUUGCUACGGUGUUUAAAAAUAGUGAAAAAACGAUCACUUGUUUAUGUACAUUAACAUAUAUCUUAGUGUUGUUUUAUUAAAGUCACUGCUUGAUUCGUCUGUUCAACGUAGAGAAGUUUCACUGCUCCUUAGCAAUGCUACCAC